GCGGACAUAGCUCAAUGGUAGAGCAGAAGGUUUCCAACCUUAAUGUUGCAGGUUCAAGUCCUGUUGUCCGCU
rnacentral:tRNA from 1 species